rnacentral:rRNA from 1 species
CUUCCCCCUAGGGUGACGAGCGGCGGACGGGAGAGUAAUGUCUGGGAAACUGCCUGAUGGAGGGGGAUAACUACUGGAAACGGUAGCUAAUACCGCAUAACGUCGCAAGACCAAAGAGGGGGACCUUCGGGCCUCUUGCCAUCAGAUGUGCCCAGAUGGGAUUAGCUAGUAGGUGGGGUAAUGGCUCACCUAGGCGACGAUCCCUAGCUGGUCUGAGAGGAUGACCAGCCACACUGGAACUGAGACACGGUCCAGACUCCUACGGGAGGCAGCAGUGGGGAAUAUUGCACAAUGGGCGCAAGCCUGAUGCAGCCAUGCCGCGUGUGUGAAGAAGGCCUUCGGGUUGUAAAGCACUUUCAGCGAGGAGGAAGGUGGUGAGCUUAAUACGCUCAUCAAUUGACGUUACUCGCAGAAGAAGCACCGGCUAACUCCGUGCCAGCAGCCGCGGUAAUACGGAGGGUGCAAGCGUUAAUCGGAAUUACUGGGCGUAAAGCGCACGCAGGCGGUUUGUUAAGUCAGAUGUGAAAUCCCCGGGCUCAACCUGGGAACUGCAUUUGAAACUGGCAAGCUAGAGUCUCGUAGAGGGGGGUAGAAUUCCAGCUGUAGCGGGGAAAUGCGUAGAGAUCUGGAGGAAUACCGGUGGCGAAGGCGGCCCCCUGGACGAAGACUGACGCUCAGGUGCGAGAGCGUGGGGAGCAAACAGGAUCAGAUACCCGGCUAGUCCACGCUGUAAACGAGGUCGAAUUUGGAAGGUUGGUGCCCCUUUGAUAGGCGUUGGAAUGUACCGGCAACCCUAAACCCCCGCCUAUACCUCUACCCCCGCCCCUGGG